GAAGGAAGAAUUGGAUGGUGAGCUUUGAGACUACUUAAGAACUGCCCCAAACCUGUUCAGGGCACAGCUAUGAUACAGCCAUAAUCUUGAACGUAAGAAAGUCUAAUGGGAACACUGUAUAUACCCUCAGUCCUCCAGAAACUCAAAGGAUCUGUCCAGCAGCUCAUGUUGUGGCACAAUGCCUACCCUUGGGGUGGUGUUAACUUUUUAUACUAGGAACUACGUGUACUUUAUUUACAAUAAUUUUCCAAUACCUAUCACCUAUGUUAGACAGUCUGUCUCUACUCUAAACCAACCCAAAAGUGCCAACAUCACAGCAGAAGAUGUAGGACAAGAAGAAGAAGAAGAAGAAGAAGAAGAAGAAGAAGAAGAAGAAGAAGAAGAAGAAGAAGAAGAAGGACAGGACAUGCCCAGAUUCCUUCAUCUUGCUUCUUGAUCUCCAAUUCUAAAAUGCCAAAAUUCUACUUUUUCACCCUGUGACAAAUAAACUAUUAUUCUACUCAAA